rnacentral:rRNA from 1 species
GAUGAACGCUGGCGGCGUGCCUAAUACAUGCAAGUCGAGCGAACAGAUAAGGAGCUUGCUCCUUUGGCGUUAGCGGCGGACGGGUGAGUAACACGUGGGUAACCUACCUAUAAGACUGGAAUAACUCCGGGAAACCGGGGCUAAUGCCGGAUAACAUUUAGAACCGCGUGGUUCUAAAGUGAAAGAUGGUUUUACUAUCACUUAUAGAUGGACCCGCGCCGUAUUAGCUAGUUGGUAAGGUAACGGCUUACCAAGGCAACGAUACGUAGCCGACCUGAGAGGGUGAUCGGCCACACUGGAACUGAGACACGGUCCAGACUCCUACGGGAGGCAGCAGUAGGGAAUCUUCCGCAAUGGGCGAAAGCCUGACGGAGCAACGCCGCGUGAGUGAUGAAGGUCUUCGGAUCGUAAAACUCUGUUAUUAGGGAAGAACAAAUGUGUAAGUAACUGUGCACGUCUUGACGGUACCUAAUCAGAAAGCCACGGCUAACUACGUG